GGACGCCGGCCUCUCACGCCGGUAACACGGGUUCAAAUCCCGUACGGGGUACCA
rnacentral:tRNA from 1 species